GUGCCCACUUUGGCAGCACAUAUACUAAAAUUGGAACAACAGAGAAGAUUAGCAUGGCCCCUGUGCAAGGAUGACAUGCAAAUUCGUGAAGCGUUCCACAUUUUU
rnacentral:snRNA from 2 species